rnacentral:rRNA from 1 species
GCUCAGGACGAACGCUGGCGGCGUGCUUAACACAUGCAAGUCGAACGAUGACGGUGGUGCUUGCACCGCCUGAUUAGUGGCGAACGGGUGAGUAACACGUGAGUAACCUGCCCUCCACUUCGGGAUAACCUCGGGAAAUCGUGGCUAAUACCGGAUAUGAGCACUCAUCGCAUGGUGGGUGUUGGAAAGAUUUAUCGGUGGGGGAUGGACUCGCGGCCUAUCAGUUUGUUGGUGAGGUGAUGGCUCACCAAGACGAUGACGGGUAGCCGGCCUGAGAGGGCGACCGGCCACACUGGGACUGAGACACGGCCCAGACUCCUACGGGAGGCAGCAGUGGGGAAUAUUGCACAAUGGGCGAAAGCCUGAUGCAGCGACGCCGCGUGGGGGAUGACGGCCUUCGGGUUGUAAACCCCUUUCAGUAGGGAAGAAGCGAGAGUGACGGUACCUGCAGAAGAAGCGCCGGCUAACUACGUGCCAGCAGCCGCGGUAAUACGUAGGGCGCAAGCGUUGUCCGGAAUUAUUGGGCGUAAAGAGCUUGUAGGUGGCUUGUCGCGUCUGCCGUGAAAACCCGAGGCUCAACCUCGGGCGUGCGGUGGGUACGGGCAGGCUAGAGUGUGGUAGGGGAGACUGGAACUCCUGGUGUAGCGGUGAAAUGCGCAGAUAUCAGGAAGAACACCGAUGGCGAAGGCAGGUCUCUGGGCCAUUACUGACACUGAGAAGCGAAAGCAUGGGUAGCGAACAGGAUUAGAUACCCUGGUAGUCCAUGCCGUAAACGUUGGGCACUAGGUGUGGGGGACAUUCCACGUUUUCCGCGCCGUAGCUAACGCAUUAAGUGCCCCGCAUGGGGAGACGGCCCACU